rnacentral:rRNA from 1 species
GUGCCAGCCGCCGCGGUAAUACAGAGGGUGCGAGCGUUGUCCGGAAUCACUGGGCGUAAAGGGCGCGUAGGUGGCGGGAUAAGUGUGUGGUGAAAGCUCGGGGCUCAACCCCGAGUCUGCCAUGCAGACUGUCUUGCUCGAGCGUAGUAGAGGCAGGUGGAAUUCCGGGUGUAGCGGUGGAAUGCGUAGAGAUCCGGAAGAACACCGGUGGCGAAGGCGGCCUGCUGGGCUACUGCUGACACUGAUGCGCGACAGCGUGGGGAGCAAACAGGAUUAGAUACCCUUGUAGUCC